rnacentral:rRNA from 1 species
AAUAUUGCGCAAUGGGGGAAACCCUGACGCAGCAACGCCGCGUGAGCGAGGAAGGCCUUCGGGUCGUAAAGCUCUGUCUAGAGGGAUGAAACAUGACAGUACCUCUGGAGGAAGCCCCGGCUAACUACGUGCCAGCAGCCGCGGUAAUACGUAGGGGGCAAGCGUUGUCCGGAUUUACUGGGCGUAAAGGGCGCGUAGGCGGUAGUAUAAGUCAGAUGUGAAAGGCUACGGCUUAACCGUAGUUAGCAUUUGAAACUAAAAGGCUUGAGUGCAGGAGAGGAGAGUGGAAUUCCUAGUGUAGCGGUGAAAUGCGUAGAUAUUAGGAGGAACACCAGUGGCGAAGGCGACUCUCUGGACUGCAACUGACGCUGAGGCACGAAAGCGUGGGGAGCGAACA